rnacentral:rRNA from 1 species
UCUGGUGCCAGCAGCCGCGGUAAUUCCAGCUCCAAUAGCGUAUAUUAAAGUUGUUGCAGUUAAAAAGCUCGUAGUUGAAUUUCGGGGUUCAUCCGUUGGUCGGGCUUUUGGGUCUGUACUGGCGUGAUGGAUUCCUACCCUUUCUGGAAUAAACCAGCCAUGUCAUUAAUUUGGUGCGCUGGGGAAGCAGGACUGUUACCUUGAAAAAAUUAGAGU